UACGUAGGGUGCGAGCGUUGUUCGGAAUUACUGGGCGUAAAGCGCACGUAGGCGGCUUUGUAAGUUAGAGGUGAAAGCCCGGAGCUCAACUCCGGAACUGCCAUUGAAACUGUUGAACUUGAGGACGAAAAGAGGUGAGUGGAAUUCCCAGUGUAGAGGUGAAAAUUCGUAGAUAUUGGGAAGAACACCAGUGGCGAAGGCGGCUCACUGGCUCGUAUCUGACGCUCAGGCGCGAUAGCGUGGGGGAUCAAACAGG
rnacentral:rRNA from 1 species